GAAGCAUUUUGUAGCUGUUGUCUGGUUGCCUCUGUACCCCUCCUCUCUCACACAUCUGGUCCCCAAACUAAAGGAGGACCUCCCAUUCAGGCAGUUUCGGCUGGACUCUGCGGCACCCACUUCUCCUCAAAGGCACGUGAACUUCUCGUGGCCAUUUUAACCCUUACAAACUGUUCUGGUCAGAUUUGACAACAUCAAAAAUGUCAUGGUUUUUCCUGAAAUUUGAUUGAUUGUUCUUGAGUGACCCAAAAAUACUAAUUUUAGACG